GAGUUUGAUCAUGGCUCAGAGUGAACGCUGGCGGCAGGCCUAACACAUGCAAGUCGAGCGGCAGCGCGGGGGCAACCCUGGCGGCGAGCGGCGGACGGGUGAGGAAUGCAUCGGAAUCUACCUCGUUGUGGGGGAUAACCUCGGGAAACCGGGACUAAUACCGCAUACGACCUACGGGUGAAAGUGGGGGACCGCAAGGCCUCACGCGAUGAGAUGAGCCGAUGCCGGAUUAGCUAGUUGGCGGGGUAAAGGCCCACCAAGGCGACGAUCCGUAGCUGGUCUGAGAGGAUGAUCAGCCACACUGGAACUGAGACACGGUCCAGACUCCUACGGGAGGCAGCAGUGGGGAAUAUUGGACAAUGGGCGCAAGCCUGAUCCAGCCAUGCCGCGUGUGUGAAGAAGGCCUCCGGGUUGUAAAGCACUUUUGUUGGGGAAGAAACCGGCCGGGUUAAUACCCUGGUUGAAUGACGGUACCCAAAGAAUAAGCACCGGCUAACUUCGUGCCAGCCGCCGCAGUAAU
rnacentral:rRNA from 1 species